GACGAACGCUGGCGGCGUGCUUAACACAUGCAAGUCGAACGGAUCAUCAGGUUUUCGGAUUUGGUGGUGAGUGGCGAACGGGUGAGUAACACGUGAGUAACCUGCCCCGGACUUUGGGAUAACGACUCGAAAGGGUUGCUAAUACCGGAUAUUGAACUGUUGCCGCAUGGUGGUGGUUUGAAAGUUUUUUCGGUUCGGGAUGGGCUCGCGGCCUAUCAGCUUGUUGGUGGGGUGAUGGCCUACCAAGGCGUCGACGGGUAGCCGGCCUGAGAGGGCGACCGGCCACACUGGGACUGAGAUACGGCCCAGACUCCUACGGGAGGCAGCAGUGGGGAAUAUUGCACAAUGGACGGAAGUCUGAUGCAGCAACGCCGCGUGCGGGAUGAAGGCCUUCGGGUUGUAAACCGCUUUCACCUCCGGCGAAUUGACGGUAGGAGAAGAAGAAGCACCGGCUAACUACGUAGCCAGCAG
rnacentral:rRNA from 1 species